GAACGCUAGCUACAGGCUUAACACAUGCAAGUCGAGGGGCAGCAUGGUCUUAGCUUGCUAAGGCCGAUGGCGACCGGCGCGCGGGUGAGUAACACGUAUCCAACCUGCCGUCUACUCUUGGACAGCCUUCUGAAAGGAAGAUUAAUACAAGAUGGCAUCAUGAGUCCGCAUGUUCACAUGAUUAAAGGUAUUCCGGUAGACGAUGGGGAUGCGUUCCAUUAGAUAGUAGGCGGGGUAACGGCCCACCUAGUCUUCGAUGGAUAGGGGUUCUGAGAGGAAGGUCCCCCACAUUGGAACUGAGACACGGUCCAAACUCCUACGGGAGGCAGCAGUGAGGAAUAUUGGUCAAUGGGCGAGAGCCUGAACCAGCCAAGUAGCGUGAAGGAUGACUGCCCUAUGGGUUGUAAACUUCUUUUAUAAAGGAAUAAAGUCGGGUAUGCAUACCCGUUUGCAUGUACUUUAUGAAUAAGGAUCGGCUAACUCCGUGCCAGCAGCCGCGGUAAUACGGAGGAUCCGAGCGUUAUCCGGAUUUAUUGGGUUUAAAGGGAGCGUAGAUGGAUGUUUAAGUCAGUUGUGAAAGUUUGCGGCUCAACCGUAAAAUUGCAGUUGAUACUGGAUAUCUUGAGUGCAGUUGAGGCAGGCGGAAUUCGUGGUGUAGCGGUGAAAUGCUUAGAUAUCACGAAGAACUCCGAUUGCGAAGGCAGCCUGCUAAGCUGCAACUGACAUUGAGGCUCGAAAGUGUGGGUAUCAAACAGGAUUAGAUACCCUGGUAGUCCACACGGUAAACGAUGAAUACUCGCUGUUUGCGAUAUACGGCAAGCGGCCAAGCGAAAGCGUUAAGUAUUCCACCUGGGGAGUACGCCGGCAACGGUGAAACUCAAAGGAAUUGACGGGGGCCCGCACAAGCGGAGGAACAUGUGGUUUAAUUCGAUGAUACGCGAGGAACCUUACCCGGGCUUAAAUUGCAGAUGAAUUACGGUGAAAGCCGUAAGCCGCAAGGCAUCUGUGAAGGCGCUGCAUGGUUGUCGUCAGCUCGUGCCGUGAGGUGUCGGCUUAAGUGCCAUAACGAGCGCAACCCUUGUUGUCAGUUACUAACAGGUUCCGCUGAGGACUCUGACAAGACUGCCAUCGUAAGAUGUGAGGAAGGUGGGGAUGACGUCAAAUCAGCACGGCCCUUACGUCCGGGGCUACACACGUGUUACAAUGGGGGGUACAGAGGGCCGCUACCACGCGAGUGGAUGCCAAUCCCCAAAACCUCUCUCAGUUCGGACUGGAGUCUGCAACCCGACUCCACGAAGCUGGAUUCGCUAGUAAUCGCGCAUCAGCCACGGCGCGGUGAAUACGUUCCCGGGCCUUGUACACACCGCCCGUCAAGCCAUGGGAGCCGGGGGUACCUGAAGUGCGUAACCGCGAGGAGCGCCCUAGGGUAAAACUGGUGACUG
rnacentral:rRNA from 1 species